rnacentral:rRNA from 1 species
UACGAAGGGGGCUAGCGUUGUUCGGAAUUACUGGGCGCAAAGCGCACGUAGGCGGAUUGUUAAGUUAGGGGUGAAAUCCCAGGGCUCAACCCUGGAACUGCCUUUAAUACUGGCAAUCUCGAGUCCGAGAGAGGUGAGUGGAAUUCCGAGUGUAGAGGUGAAAUUCGUAGAUAUUCGGAGGAACACCAGUGGCGAAGGCGGCUCACUGGUCCGGUACUGACGCUGAGGUGCGAAAGCGUGGGGAGCAAACAGGG